UACGAAGGGGGCUAGCGUUGCUCGGAAUUACUGGGCGUAAAGCGCACGUAGGCGGGUUCUUAAGUCGGUGGUGAAAUCCUGGAGCUCAACUCCAGAACUGCCUUCGAAACUGGGAAUCUUGAGUCCGGGAGAGGUGAGUGGAACUGCGAGUGUAGAGGUGAAAUUCGUAGAUAUUCGCAAGAACACCAGUGGCGAAGGCGGCUCACUGGCCCGGAACUGACGCUGAGGUGCGAAAGCGUGGGGAGCAAACAGG
rnacentral:rRNA from 1 species